rnacentral:lncRNA from 1 species
GUGGUUAGUAAUGAGUAGUAAUAGUGAGUGCUAUGUAAUGAGUGGUAGUAAUGAGUGCUAUGUCAUGCGUAGUAAUAGUGAGUGUAUGUAAUGAGUAGUAGUACUGAGUACGAAUAGUGCGUGCUAUGGUUGAGUGG